AGGAGGUGAGGAAGGAGUAGAGGGUAGGAGGAGGUGAGGAAGGAGUAGAGGGUAGGAGCGGGCGCUGAAGGGAAAGGCUAGCAGAGCUCCUGGGAUCUUUCCGGCAGCCCAAGCAGCUUUUACUCCGGCUGCUUCGCCUGGUGAUGGUCAAGUUUAGAAUGCAGUUCCAAGAGCUACAGCGAGAUUCCAGUUUCCUGGCAGAGCCGAGCUGGGCUGAGGAGUGCCAGGCGCCCGCUCAGCACACAUGUUUUGAACUUGACUUAGCAGGUCAUCAGAACCCCGCUGGUUUAAUGAGCAACCUUCACAAAGAGAAACACCUUCAGCAGCCUUAAAAGCUGGGACUCCCGGCGUGUCCAGAAUCACCCCGAGGCCUCCAUGCAGCCCGCCCCCUCCCCCGACACACCUCCCGGGUAAAAAACUCAGCCACCAAGUCUGCCAUGGGGACAGAGUCCAGGCGAUCGAUGGCUUCCCGCCAGCCCCACCUCUUUGACAUUUGAGCGGCCUCUGUGGUCUCGGCCUUUUCCAACUAAACAAUAAGUGGGUGUUUAUCUUGCCUCCAGCCAUGGGUACCCUCACCCCCUGUUGGCCGGCCCUGCCAUGUCUUUGGAUGGCAGACACUGCCUCUUCUAAGGCUAGCCUUGCCCUGCCCUGGCUCUGCUUGCUCAACGACCAGGAGUCCAAGAUCAAGUGUGAGCCGAGACGGUACUUCUGGGGACUGUGUCGGACCGUCUGCUCUACACACCUUGCCUAGCAUCUGUGGCUUGCUCUCGCUACUCGGUGAUCUAUAUUUUAUGAAGGAAUCGCUUCACCUUUGUCUCCUUGUGAUGUUCUCAUGUAUGUCUCUGUUGACAUUUCCCACUUCUAAAAGGACGCCUGUCAUUGGAGUAGUGCUUAGCCUAAUAACCUUAUCUUAAGUCAACUAAAUUAAAUUGGCAAUAAACGUGCUUCCAAGUAGGGCA